rnacentral:lncRNA from 1 species
GGGAAAGACAUUUAGAACAAAAAAAUUAGUUUGAAAAAUCAUCACUAGAGGACAUUCCUCAUUGAUAAGAUAGCACCAUCCAUGGGGGGCCUAUGCAGCCAAGCACUGUGACCAAUACAGGUCUAUUGUGCACGGCACCAUCCAUGAGUAGCAUACAUGAUAAUUUUGAUAACCAUGGUACCAUCUGCUUGCACACCAGGAUAUUUAAACAUCUUCCACAAAACCAUUUUUAUUUCCAUUUCCUCACCAAUGGAUAUGACACUGAUGUUAUAAGAAUAUGCUUUACUGGUAAAACUGUUUUACAAAAAUGAUGAUUCCACACUAGAAGCUUUGUGAAGAUUUCA